UACAGAGGUCCCGAGCGUUGUUCGGAUUCACUGGGCGUAAAGGGUGCGCAGGUGGGUUGGCAAGUUUGAUGUGAAAUCCCUCGGCUCAACCAAGGAAGUGCUUUCGAAACUGCUGAGCUUGAGUACGAAAGAGGAUCGCGGAAUUCCCGGUGUAGAGGUGAAAUUCGUAGAUAUCGGGAGGAACACCAGUGGCGAAGGCGGCGAUCUGGGUCGAUACUGACGCUGAGGUGCGAAAGCGUGGGGAGCAAACAGG
rnacentral:rRNA from 1 species